rnacentral:rRNA from 1 species
AUUGAACGCUGGCGGCAGGCUUAACACAUGCAAGUCGAGCGGGGGAAGGUAGCUUGCUACCGGACCUAGCGGCGGACGGGUGAGUAAUGCUUAGGAAUCUGCCUAUUAGUGGGGGACAACAUCUCGAAAGGGAUGCUAAUACCGCAUACGUCCUACGGGAGAAAGCAGGGGAUCUUCGGACCUUGCGCUAAUAGAUGAGCCUAAGUCGGAUUAGCUAGUUGGUGGGGUAAAGGCCUACCAAGGCGACGAUAUGUAGCGGGUCUGAGAGGAUGAUCCGCCACACUGGGACUGAGACACGGCCCAGACUCCUACGGGAGGCAGCAGUGGGGAAUAUUGGACAAUGGGGGGAACCCUGAUCCAGCCAUGCCGCGUGUGUGAAGAAGGCCUUAUGGUUGUAAAGCACUUUAAGCGAGGAGGAGGCUACUCUAGUUAAUACCUAGGGAUAGUGGACGUUACACGCAGAAUAAGCACCGGCUAACUCUGUGCCAGCAGCCGCAGUAA